UGUUCCAUUGCUCACGAAGACAAGAAAGAAUACUCCGGUUGGAACUUUAUUGAAGCUAUAUGUUAAAAACAUCCUAAUGAUUGAUUAUGUACUUAGUUUGAAAUGUUUCUUCGACUGGUAAUAUCACUUUUUGAAUUUUUUGUCUGAUAUAACGCUGACCAGAAUUAGCGUUUGCUCUUAACAAAAGAAGGUAUUUGGACAUAAAUAACGGACAUUUUCGAACAAAACAAACAUUUAUUGUGGACCUGGGAUUCCUGGAGUGCUUUCUGAUGUAGAUCAUCUAAGCGUCCCCUCUAGGGAUCCAGGGGGAACAGCAGUCCCAUACAGAUGACCAGCAGAAGAAACAACAGGUCUCAUAUAAAGUGCACCCCUUCAACAACCAGGUGUCGUGCAUCCUGGGAUGCGGUUGGAGGUACAGGUGAAGCUGACAGGCUCCCAGAGGCAGGGCCAUAAAAUGCCCCAGCACACUCAACUGCCCCUCCCCUCUACAACAGCCAACAGCCCAGAACAGCAUGAAGACAGAACAUCUAAAAGAUCAUCUGGGAAUCCUUCCUUCCUCAUGGAGAUUUUUGAAGUUUCACUUUGAGUCAAGUUCUGGAUAUGUUGGAUCUAGGUGACUGCCCAGACAAGGCAUGCAACAUUGCAGUUAUCCCUCAAAAUGAGAAAAAUGCUGUCCUCUGUGAUUGUGAUAGCGAUGGGUCAGAUAUGGACUAUGAGGGGGAGACAGGCCAUUUGCCUGCCAGGAUUUUGAAUGCAUAUGCUGAACCUAUGCAAACAGAUCAUGACAGGAACAACGUUAUCAGUGAUGAUGACCCACCCAUCACCACCACCUCCUCCCCCAUCCACCACCCUCCCUCCCCCACCACCUCCACUGUUGAUAAUGAAGAGCCAACGGCCACUACCCGCCAGAGGGUCCAGUCCGAAGAGCCAAGGGCAAAGCUGCAUGUGGUCAAAAAUAAAGAUUGAGUGUUCAAAUGAUCGAAGAGGCCUGCCACUGCUGUGAUUCCAAAACACAUAGUAUACAGCCCAAAUGCUGUGAUUCCAGAACACAUAGUAUACAGCCCCAAUGCUGUGAUUCCAGAACACAUAGUAUACAGCCCCA